rnacentral:rRNA from 1 species
GAUGAACGCUGGCGGCGUGCCUAAUACAUGCAAGUCGAGCGAACAGAUAAGGAGCUUGCUCCUUUGACGUUAGCGGCGGACGGGUGAGUAACACGUGGAUAACCUACCUCUAAGACUGGGAUAACUUCGGGAAACCGGAGCUAAUACCGGAUAACAUAUUGAACCGCAUGGUUCAAUAGUGAAAGGCGGCUUUGCUGUCACUUCUAGAUGGAUCCGCGCGGUAUUAGCUAGUUGGUAAGGUAACGGCUUACCAAGGCAACGAUACGUAGCCGACCUGAGAGGGGGUUCGGCCACACUGGGACUGAGAGACGAUCCAGAGUCCGACGGGAGGCAGCAGUAGGGAAUCUUCCGAGAUGGGCGGAAGCCUGACGGAGCAACGCCGCGUGAGUGAUGAAGGUCUUCGGAUCGGAAAACUCUGUUAUCAGGGAAGAACAAAUGUGUAAGUAACUGUGCACAUCUUGACGGUACCUGAUCAGAAAGCAACGGCUAACUACGUG